UACGUAGGGUGCGAGCGUUGUCCGGAAUUAUUGGGCGUAAAGAGCUCGUAGGCGGUCUGUCGCGUCGAUCGUGAAAACUUGGGGCUUAACCCUGAGCUUGCGGUCGAUACGGGCAUGACUGGAGUUCGGCAGGGGAGACUGGAAUUCCUGGUGUAGCGGUGAAAUGCGCAGAUAUCAGGAGGAACACCAGCGGCGAAGGCGGCACUCUGGGCUGGAACUGACGCUGAGGAGCGAAAGCGUGGGUAGCAAACAGG
rnacentral:rRNA from 1 species